UACAGAGGUCUCACGCGUUGUUCGGAUUCAUUGGGCGUAAAGGGUGCGUAGGCGGCGCGGUAAGUCGGAUGUGAAAUCUCGGAGCUUAACUCCGAAACUGCAUUCGAUACUGCCGUGCUUGAGGACUGGAGAGGAGACUGGAAUUUACGGUGUAGCGGUGAAAUGCGUAGAUAUCGUAAGGAAGACCAGUGGCGAAGGCGGGUCUCUGGACAGUUCCUGACGCUGAGGCACGAAGGCCAGGGGAGCAAACGGG
rnacentral:rRNA from 1 species